rnacentral:tRNA from 1 species
GAACGUAUGGUUUAGUGGUUAAAGCUCUUGGACGUUUUCCAAGGGGCGCGGGUUCAAAUAACGCGAAGUUAA